CGUCAAGCCAUGGGAGCUGCGGGCGCCUGAAGUCCGUUGCCGUGAGGCGCGGCCGAGGGCGAACGCGGUGACUGGGGCUAAGUCGUAACAAGGUAGCCGUACCGGAAGGUGCGGCUGGAACACCUCCUUU
rnacentral:rRNA from 1 species